rnacentral:tRNA from 1 species
GGGCCCUUAGCUUAGUGGUCAUAGCACCCGGCUCAUAACCGGGCGGUCGCCGGUUCGAAUCCGGCAGGGCCCA